rnacentral:rRNA from 1 species
UACGAAGGGGGCUAGUGUUGCUCGGAUUGACUGGGCGUAAAGGGCGCGUAGGCGGUUCGUACAGUCAGACGUGAAAUUCCUGGGCUCAACCUGGGGGCUGCGUUUGAUACGUGCGGACUUGAGUGCAGAAGAGGGUCGUGGAAUUCCCAGUGUAGAGGUGAAAUUCGUAGAUAUUGGGAAGAACACCGGUGGCGAAGGCGGCGACCUGGUCCGAUACUGACGCUGAGGCGCGAAAGCGUGGGGAGCAAACAGG